rnacentral:rRNA from 1 species
GGAAUUUUGGACAAUGGGCGCAAGCCUGAUCCAGCAAUGCCGCGUGCAGGAAGAAGGCCUUCGGGUUGUAAACUGCUUUUGUCAGGGAAGAAAUCUUCUGGGUUAAUACCUCGGGAGGAUGACGGUACCUGAAGAAUAAGCACCGGCUAACUACGUGCCAGCAGCCGCGGUAAUGCGUAGGGUGCGAGCGUUAAUCGGAAUUACUGGGCGUAAAGCGUGCGCAGGCGGCUUUGCAAGACAGAUGUGAAAUCCCCGGGCUCAACCUGGGAACUGCAUUUGUGACUGCAAGGCUAGAGUACGGCAGAGGGGGAUGGAAUUCCGCGUGUAGCAGUGAAAUGCGUAGAUAUGCGGAGGAACACCGAUGGCGAAGGCAAUCCCCUGGGCCUGUACUGACGCUCAUGCACGAAAGCGUGGGGAGCAAAC